CUCCCACCCGUGUUUACUGUACCUUAGUUGCUUCGGCGGGCCCGCCAUUCAUGGCCGCCGGGGGCUCUCAGCCCCGGGCCCGCGCCCGCCGGAGACACCACGAACUCUGUCUGAUCUAGUGAAGUCUGAGUUGAUUGUAUCGCAAUCAGUUAAAACUUUCAACAAUGGAUCUCUUGGUUCCGGCAUCGAUGAAGAACGCAGCGAAAUGCGAUAACUAGUGUGAAUUGCAGAAUUCCGUGAAUCAUCGAGUCUUUGAACGCACAUUGCGCCCCCUGGUAUUCCGGGGGGCAUGCCUGUCCGAGCGUCAUUGCUGCCCAUCAAGCACGGCUUGUGUGUUGGGUCGUCGUCCCCUCUCCGGGGGGGACGGGCCCCAAAGGCAGCGGCGGCACCGCGUCCGAUCCUCGAGCGUAUGGGGCUUUGUCACCCGCUCUGUAGGCCCGGCCGGCGCUUGCCGAACGCAAAUCAAUCUUUUUCCAGGUUGACCUCGGAUCAGGUAGGGAUACCCGCUGAACUUAAGCAUAU
rnacentral:rRNA from 1 species